UACGUAGGGUGCGAGCGUUAAUCGGAAUUACUGGGCGUAAAGCGUGCGCAGGCGGUCUGUUAAGACAGAUGUGAAAUCCCCGGGCUUAACCUGGGAACUGCAUUUGUGACUGGCAGGCUAGAGUAUGGCAGAGGGGGGGUGGAAUUCCACGUGUAGCAGUGAAAUGCGUAGAGAUGUGGAGGAACACCGAUGGCGAAGGCAGCCCCCCUGGGUUAACACUGACGCUCAGGCACGAAAGCGUGGGGAGCAAACAGG
rnacentral:rRNA from 1 species